rnacentral:rRNA from 1 species
UACAGAGGGUUCAAGCGUUGUUCGGAUUCAUUGGGCGUAAAGGGUGCGUAGGCGGUGCGGUAAGUCGGGUGUGAAAUCUCGGAGCUUAACUCCGAGACUGCAUUCGAUACUGCCGUGCUUGAGGACUGGAGAGGAGACUGGAAUUUACGGUGUAGCGGUGAAAUGCGUAGAUAUCGUGAGGAAGACCAGUGGCGAAGGCGGGUCUCUGGACAGUUCCUGACGCUGAGGCGCGAAAGUCAGGGGAGCAAACAGG